rnacentral:rRNA from 1 species
UGAGGAAUAUUGGGCAAUGCCCGCAAGGGUGACCCAGCAACGCCGCGUGGAGGACGAAUGUCGUAAGAUUGUAAACUCCUGUUAGAGGGGAAGAAUAGUACCGGUUGGACCGGUAUAUGACUGUACCCUCAGAGAAAGCCCCGGCUAACUACGUGCCAGCAGCCGCGGUAAUACGUAGGGGGCAAGCGUUGUCCGGAUUUACUGGGUGUAAAGGGCGCGCAGGCGGGAUAAAAAGUCAGUGGUGAAAUCCUACAGCUUAACUGUAGAACUGCCUUUGAUACUGCAAGCCUAGAGUAUGGAAGAGAGUGAUGGAAUAUCUGGUGUAGCAGUGAAAUGCGUAGAUAUCAGAUAGAACACCAAUGGCGAAGGCAGUCACUUGAUCCAUUACUGACGCUAAAGCACGAAAGCGUGGGUAGCAAACA